rnacentral:rRNA from 1 species
GCGAGCGGCGGACGGGUGAGUAAUGUCUGGGAAACUGCCUGAUGGAGGGGGAUAACUACUGGAAACGGUAUCUAAUACCGCAUAAUGUCGCAAGACCAAAGAGGGGGACCUUCGGGCCUCUUGCCAUCAUAUGUGCCCAGAUGGGAUUAUCUAGUAUGUGGGGUAACGGCUCACCUACGCGACUAUCCCUAGCUGGUCUGAGAGGAUGACCACCCACACUGGAACUGAGACACGGUCCACACUCCUACGGGAGGCAGCAGUGGGGAAUAUUGCACAAUGGGCGCAAGCCUGAUGCACCCAUGCCGCGUGUAUGAAGAAGGCCUUCGGGUUGUAAAGUACUUUCAGCGGGGAGGAAGGUGGUGAGGUUAAUAACCUCAUCGAUUGACGUUACCCGC